rnacentral:tRNA from 1 species
GGCCUCGUUGCUCAGUUGGCUAGAGUUUUUGCUGGCCUUGCUUCGCCUUACUGGCGUGGGUUCGAAUCCCACCAUGGCUG